rnacentral:rRNA from 1 species
GACGAACGCUGGCGGCAUGCCUAACACAUGCAAGUCGAGCGAGUUGAUCCCUUCGGGGUGAAGCUAGCGGCAGACGGGCGAGUAACACGUGGGCAACCUGCCUCAUAGAGGGGAAUAGCCUUCCGAAAGGAAGAUUAAUACCGCAUAAGAUUGUAGCUUCGCAUGAAGCAGCAAUUAAAGGAGCAAUCCGCUAUGAGAUGGGCCCGCGGCGCAUUAGCUAGUUGGUGAGGUAACGGCUCACCAAGGCGACGAUGCGUAGCCGACCUGAGAGGGUGAUCGGCCACAUUGGGACUGAGACACGGCCCAGACUCCUACGGGAGGCAGCAGUGGGGAAUAUUGCACAAUGGGGGAAACCCUGAUGCAGCAAUGCCGCGUGAGUGAUGACGGCCUUCGGGUUGUAAAGCUCUGUCUUCGGGGACGAUAAUGACGGUACCCGAGGAGGAAGCCACGGCUAACUACGUGCCAGCCGCCGCCGUAAAAC